AGUCACUAAGGUAAACCUCAGCUGUUCCUGGGCUAACAGAGCUACAGAAAUUCAGACUAAUCCAUGUAAUUCAGAAAAUGACAGCAGCCUCGCUUCUCACAGGUUCGAUUGUGUCAGGAGCAAGAUAAAGGUUCCAACCUUUUCAGCAGGCAUGGGAAGAAGCUCAUUCUCAUCUAGAUCAAUGCCUUGACUGCAAAUGUGUCUCUGUAUAGAUGGAUGACACACACCAGUAUGCAUGUUUUUACAAUGGGAGAAGACACUGAAGACCAGAUUAUACACCGCACUUGAGCAUGACAGAGAUCCUAAAGACAUAUCAGAAAGUGAUUUUCAAUUGCCUGAGUCUCUGUGGGAACCCUUGUGUCUGAACCUUUCCCAAGGAUGUUGUCAAGUAAGAGGCCUGGAGCUGGUAUAUCCCCACACGGCACAGGUAUUCCCGACAGAAGUAUCAUCUCCAUUUCAUUUUUUUCUGCUUAAGAAGCACACAGGGGUAUGGGCAUAUCAGGCAGAAACACUGAAUCCCCUGAGGAAAAUAAAACAGAAUCAAUGCAAGAAGAAAGACUCAAGUUUAUACCUCUUUAGAAAAACUCAAACAUAUGCUGCAUUUUCAUUUUCUCAUGCUAAAAUUUUCACUUCUGAGAAGGCCAACUAAUAAACAAAGUCACCUAUUACAGUUAUACAAAUGUUGCAUCCCCACUGUUUUAUAUUGUAAGGAAAUAAGCUGAAACUAGUCAAAAUUCAGUAUCCCUGGCAAAUAUCUGAAACUCUUUUUAUGUGGAAUGAGGAUACAGCUAGGGCUGAAAGAACAUAUGUUUUCAGUCCCACUGAAAAUUUCACUGUCUUCAUAUUCACUUUUAUCCCAAUUUGGAACAGAAAGUCAAACAUUGACUACUGAAACUUCUAAAAAUCACAAAGUUCAGAAUUGUCAAAACAUGCCAAUUUAGUGUUUCUGAUCUAAAGGAAACCCUGAAUGUUACAAAACUGCAACAGUGAAUAACUCUUUUUGAAUGAAACCAAAGCAUUACAUUUUAUCUCAGUUCAAUACCAAUGUAAGUCCCCCUGAAAUGAUCUUGACGCCUUACAAGAGCUGAAGUAUAGACACCUUGCAUUAAUUUUUUCCUACAGAGAGAUUUUCUGUGUGUGCCACAAGGUACAUCACCAUACAAAUCCCCAGGUUUGCCCCAAAAAAGACAUCCAGUUAUGACAUGUGGAAUGUAAACCAGCUAAGGAGUUGUUUCUGUAUAGAUCUUGGUCCCUUGGAUGUCAGGCACAAAGAUACUGCAGGGCAACACAGAUAAAUGUUGAGCAGAUCUGAAACAAAAUAUUUAGUUUAGUUCAAGAAGAGAAACGUGUUUUCUGGUUUGGGUGUUGAUUCAACCCCAUUGAGACAGUCUUCAAGAUUUGUAAAGGCUGGUGAUGUAAUUGUUUGAUGUGAUGUUGAAUGACAUAUAUCUGUACAGUGGUCAUUCUUAAAGUCACUCUGGGCUUGAUUGGGAUAAAAUAAAAUGCAGUACUGGAUAGUUACACUGAUGACCCAGGCCAAUUUAUCAUUAAAGUUUACAACACUUUGAGUUACUUUACCAAGACAAAGUUAGCUAAGGUAAUGACAAAUUUUCUGACCACUAUAAAUACAUAUUGCAGUCAUAUUUAAACUAGUAGAUAAUUAAUGCAGAGCCAGCUGCUACUAAUAUACUGUACUAAGACUUGUUAAUACAAGGAUCUAAUAAAGCUGUUCAUACUGGUAAUACCGUAUAGCAUUUAAAACUAUUGCAAAAUUUCCCUUAGAAUUGUCUUCUUCUUCAUUUUUUGUAUGCACAUUCCAGACAGAUAAGAGGAGAUGGUCUUUGUCCUGAAGAGCUUGAAUUAAAAUAAUAUAGAUCUAAAGGAAAACACAGCUUAGCAAAAUUGCUCUUUGCUUAUAAGGAUCUCCUCUUUCAGCUUUUCACUCAAACCCAAGAAAAUCUGCAUUAGGAAUAGGUUUUUGAAGGCACAAUCAAAACCUCUUGAAAUAUGUGGAAGUUUUGUAGUAUGCUUUUAAAAAUGGACACCCAGUUAUCCAGAUGUCUGAGGAAUAUCCAAAAUUAAAGGAGGGCAUUCUCUGCUAAUUCACUCACUUUUACAAUAAAGCUAAGUGAAAAUGAGAAUAGUUCUGAUCACCAGAGUCAGAAAUUGGUAUUCCAGCAGUUUCAUAACAGAAAUUGGUUUGCCUCCAUUUUACUAAAUUAUACUGUUCAGUAGUUAGAAACUCAUUUUAUAAGCAAAUACAUACUUACCUAUUUUUUAAGGCUCUGACCCGCUGCUCAUCUUAAUGGCUUAUAACUAAGAGUGUUCCAACUGGUUGAUACCAUCUGUCUGAAUCUGCUAGACAAAAAGGUAGUGAACUAGAUCUGUGGCUCUAGCUCAUUUAGUUUGUAUUCAAGAAACUGUGGCGUCAGUCUUUAGUAUGGAACGCUGUUGAAAUAUUAUGAAAGCCAAGCAAUUGUUUUUCUUUAAGAGGAAAAAAAAAAGUAGUGAGUAAUUAAACAGGAAUAAAAAGGAAUGACAUGGCAGCUGUGGACUGUAUUAUUCUCUAGUCCCUUGAUAGGGAUGGGUAUUGAAAUAGCCCGUCUUCUGAGAUUUCAAAAAGCAGGCACAGAAGGGGAAAACCAUGUUUCUGAGUACCCAAAGUUAAAACCGUCUCACUAAAAUAAAGGCGAGAGGGAAGGGGACUAGAAGGCUCCACUGAAUUGUGUCUGGGGAUCGGAUGUGUGGGCUUGUGUAUCGUAGCUGUGGAUGUUCCUAUGGUUGGUUCCCAUGUGAAUUCGAGGGAUAUAAUCACCUCCAGUAAGUGGAAAAGACUGUCAGUGAUAGAUGAAAAAGUCCUCUCUGCCUCAGGAGGUGUCAGAAGAUAGUUCAGCAGACUGAUGCUAACUGCCUUCAGGCAUAAGCAGAAGGCAACUUUGUGUCAGUGACCAACAUAGUUUCUGACGUGCAAUGCCCAUGACACUAAAUAUUAAGGAUAAGAAAG